GGGAAUCUACCUUUUGCUACGGAAUAACUCAGGGAAACUUGUGCUAAUACCGUAUGUGUCCUUCGGGAGAAAGAUUUAUCGGCAAAGGAUGAGCCCGCGUUGGAUUAGCUAGUUGGUGGGGUAAAGGCCCACCAAGGCGACGAUCCAUAGCCGGUCUGAGAGGAUGGCCAGCCACAUUGGGGCUGAGACACGGCCCAAACUCCUACGGGAGGCAGCAGUGGGGAAUCUUGCGCAAUGGGCGAAAGCCUGACGCAGCCAUGCCGCGUGAAUGAUGAAGGUCUUAGGAUUGUAAAAUUCUUUCACCGGGGACGAUAAUGACGGUACCCGGAGAAGAAGCCCCGGCUAACUUCGUGCCAGCAGCCGCGGUAAUACGAAGGGGGCUAGCGUUGCUCGGAAUUACUGGGCGUAAAGGGCGCGUAGGCGGACAUUUAAGUCAGGGGUGAAAUCCCGGGGCUCAACCUCGGAACUGCCUUUGAUACUGGGUGUCUUGAGUGUGAGAGAGGUAUGUGGAACUCCGAGU
rnacentral:rRNA from 1 species